AGCCACAUGGUGAGCACAAAGCAAACUAUUCUUCCGCCUUUUACUAAAGGGUAUCGUGUGUUCGCCACAAUUAGUUGCAUACGCCUAUUUUUGGAGAAGUUUCUCAAAAGACAAAUU